CCUACGGGAGGCAGCAGUGAGGAAUAUUGGUCAAUGGGCGAGAGCCUGAACCAGCCAAGUCGCGUGAGGGAGUACUGCCCUAUGGGUUGUAAACCUCUUUUGUCGGGGAGCAAAAGCCGGACGUGUCCGGCUGUGAGAGUACCCGAAGAAACAGCCUCGGCUAACUCCGUGACAGCAGCGGCGGUAAUAGGGGGGAUGAGAGCGUUAUCCGGAUUUAUUGGGUUUAAAGGGUGAGCAGGAGGAUUGUUAAGUCAGCGGUAAAAUCGUGGGCCUAAACCGCAUCCAGCCGUUGAAACUGGGGAUCUAGAGUGUGCGAGAGGUAUGCGGAAUGCGUGGUGUAGCGGUGAAAUGCAUAGAUAUCACGCAGAACCCCGAUGGCGAAGGCAGCAUACCGGUGCACAACUGACGCUCAGGCACGAAAGCGUGGGUAUCGAACAGGAUUAGAUACCCUUGUAGUC
rnacentral:rRNA from 1 species